rnacentral:lncRNA from 1 species
UAAGAGACUUUUCCAAGAUCAGUCAGCUGGGCACCCAGAACUAUUGAAGGGACUGAACUGGCCUCUGAAGUCUGGUUUUAGGGAAGAGGAUCAGGACGCUCAAAGGUGAUUCAAAACCCACUCUCUUCUAUAAAAAAGAUUGAAGUUCAAGAACAAUGACCUCACUUCCUCUGAAGUCUGAGUAAGUACAUGUAAUAUUCUUUUUAAAAAAUAUUUUUCCCAGUCACAUGUAAUAACAAUUUUCGAUGUUUUU